rnacentral:rRNA from 1 species
UACGGAGGGGGCUAGCGUUGUUCGGAAUUACUGGGCGUAAAGCGCACGUAGGCGGACUGUUAAGUCGGGGGUGAAAUCCUGGGGCUCAACCUCAGAAUUGCCUCCGAUACUGGCAGUCUCGAGUGCGGGAGAGGUGAGUGGAAUUCCCAGUGUAGAGGUGAAAUUCGUAGAUAUUGGGAAGAACACCAGUGGCGAAGGCGGCUCACUGGCCCGUAACUGACGCUGAGGUGACGAAAGCGUGGGGAGCAAACAGG